GUGAGGAAUAUUGGUCAAUGGACGAGAGUCUGAACCAGCCAAGUCGCGUGAAGGAAGACGGUUCUAUGAAUUGUAAACUUCUUUUGUGCAGGAAUAAAGUGGGUUACGUGUAACCUUUUGUAUGUACUGUACGAAUAAGGAUCGGCUAACUCCGUGCCAGCAGCCGCGGUAAUACGGAGGAUCCAAGCGUUAUCCGGAUUUAUUGGGUUUAAAGGGUGCGCAGGCGGGUUGAUAAGUCAGCGGUGAAAGUUUGCAGCUUAACUGUAAAAUUGCCGUUGAAACUGUCGAUCUUGAGUGCAAAUGAGGUAAGCGGAAUGUGUUGUGUAGCGGUGAAAUGCUUAGAUAUAACACAGAACACCGAUUGCGAAGGCAGCUUACUGGGAUGCAACUGACGCUCAUGCACGAAAGCGUGGGGAUCAAACAGGAUUAGAUACCCGAGUAGUCC
rnacentral:rRNA from 1 species